UUUACUUCAAGAGAUAUUUAUAUUCCAUUGAGAUGAAGGAAAUCAAAGAUAAUAUUAAACUUUUAGAUAUAACCUACCAGUGUAAGGGUUUUUCUAAAGUAAACAGCAUUUUAAAUCUCCAUGGUAACCUGUGACGAUGUAAAAACUUUAAAUCAUUACAAGCCAGAGAGAGCGGUCAUUUCUGAGGAUCAAAUCUGAAGAGAACAGCACGGAAAACUUAAGUGGCUCACGAACUUACAACUUUUGACGGCUUCAUCAUAAAUAAAACCUCACCAGACGACUAAGGACUCCGGCAAACACCUUCGAGAAACACCUGAACAAAGAGGACAACAUCUACGACAUGGAGACCGUAAGAUUUCAUGAUAAUAUUAUCAUACAAACUUGUGUUACUGUCGAGACUUUCGUGAUGCAUCGACAAGAAUUAAAUGUGUGCAUGGAUAUUUACAGUGUUUAUGACUUUAAUGUGACAGGCAUUAUCAAAAUUAACCGAAAAUAAGUGAACAUAGGCGUUUUUUUUGUGUGUGUUACUGUCGAGACGUUCGAAUGGUUAGCUUAAAAGUGAUGCAUUGACAUCACAUGAAAGUCCUGCCCACCAUGUCAAAGACUCUUUGUGCUUAAGAGCAGAAAAGCUCAUGUUAUUGUGCGAAAUCUCUCUAAGAGAUUUUUUAUGUCUUCUGGGCUAUUUAAAGCCGUCAGUCUGAAACUUAUUUGACAGUUUCUCCUUAUACUAACCAAUGCUAUCAGGUGAAAACUAUAAACACAAGCAAUUUUCACACGUAUUACAGCGAAAGAGGCACAUUAAAGGAGUGAAAUGUGGUGUUAAAAUAAGGGACACCUUCAUAACUUUAAAGAAUGACAGUCAUCAUAAAAUUCGACAAAAUAAACUAAAAAGACAUAAUAGUUAGACCUAUUUAUAAAUGCUCUAAUAGGCCUAGGUAACCAAAAAAAUCCUAUGAAUUACAUUUGAACCUAUUUAAAAAGUUACAAAACAGACAAAAUUAAGUUAAAAGUAAUGUCUUAUGUACAGCCUUUAAAAUGAAGAGUUCGAUAAUGUUCCACUGAAAUAUGUUUUCAUGUUUUCAUGGAUCAAGUGUGUGUGUUUUUCUACCACAAUAUUUAAAAUUUCAAUUAUGGGAAAAAUUCACUAAGUGUUAUCGAACCACUGUACUUUUGUGGAAGUCAGUUUUUUAUCAAACUGAAAACAGAGGAUUUUCUUAUUUAAUCCUGAAAAAGUCUUUUUCCCAAUAAAAUAAAAUGACUGAAAUAGACAUACCAAAAAUAUAAAUUCUUAAUAGUGGGUGUUGCAUUGAUGUUAAUCUAUUUCUAUUGCACAAUUAACCUGCUGAUUAGAGACUAAAUUCAAAUUAAAAUGUAUUGACUGUCUCUUCUUGAUGAUACUGAUGUUACAGAUGCUUCCUUCAUGACCUUGACCACACAGUCAAAUGUUUCAGCUUGUUUAAUUUAAAUGUCUGUGUUGUUUCUGUCUUCAGACCAGCCGACGCUUCACACGGACUUGGUCCUUGUGCACAGCUUCCACUGGUCCUGUCCCAAGCCGAUCUUGAAGAGGGUCGUGGCAACACCCAUGUCCCGUUCCAAGCCAAGCUGUGUAAGUAGGAAACCACACUGACAACAUAGAUUGGCCAUUAGCAUGCCCUCAAAACAACGUACAAAACUUUUAUAGUCUGAAUGAUUUUAAUUACAGAAAUAUGUUUAUGAAUUUGUCUUUUUUAAUUUUAAUUUUCUUUAACAUUAAUUUAUUUCAAAGAUGUGAAACCUUCCCCUGGAAAAAUAAUUUCUGCAGACUUCAGAUUUUAUAAUUUGUUGGUUUUUCUGUCUCAGGUCCGAGUGUAGCAGUACAGCCUCGUCCAGAACCAGGAUAAGUCCACUCCUCGGCUGUUACUGAGGAAGGUCCCACCGAUGUUCGGCCCUCCACGUUUCUCCUCCCCCAAGCUCAACCAGGUAAGUCACUCUCACUCCUCUUCUGUCUCUCCCUCUUUCUUUCCCUCUCCUCCUGUCUCUCAAAGAAAAAAAGAAAAAAGAAAGAAAAAAAAAAGAAAAAAGAAAAAAGAAAGAAAAAAGAAAAAAGAAAGAAAGAAAGAAAAAAGAAAAAGGAAAAAAGAAAGAAAAAAAGAAAAAAGAAAGAAAGAAAAAAGAAAGAAAGAAAAAAGAAAGAGAAAAAAAGAAAAAAGAAAAAAGAAAGAAAGAAAAAAAAGAUAAAAAGAAAAAAGAAAGAAAAAAGAAAAAAAGAAAAAAGAAGGAAAAAAGAAAGAAAAAAGAAAGAAAGAAAAGAAAGAAAAAAGAAAAAACAAGAAAGAAAGAAAAAAAGAGAAAAAAAGAAAAAAGAAAGAAAAAAGAAAAAAGAAAGAAAGAAAAAAGAAAGAAAAAAGAAAAAAGAAAGAAAAAAAGAAAGAAAAAAGAAAAAACAAGAAAGAAAGAAAAAAGAAAGAAAAAAAGAAAAAAGAAAGAAAAAAGAAAGAAAGAAAAAAGAAAGAAAAAAGAAAAAACAAAAGAAUGGACCUCGGUCCUUAUGCAAAGCUUCCACUGGUCCUGUCCCAGGCUGAUCUUGAAGAGGGUCGCGGCAACACCCAUGUCCCGUUCCAAGCCUCGCUGUGUAAGUAGGAAACCACACUGACAACAUAGAUAGGCCAUUAGCAUGCCCUCAAAACAACGUACAAAACUUUUAUAGUCUGAAUGAUUUUAAUUACAGAAAUAUGUUUAUGAAUUUGUCUUUUUUAAUUUUAAUUUUCUUUAACAUUAAUUUAUUUCAAAGAUGUGAAACCUUCCCCUUGAAAAAUAAUUUCUGGAGACUUCAGAUUUUAUAAUUUGUUGGUUUUUCUGUCUCAGGUCCGAGUGUAGCAGUACAGCCUCGUCCAGAACCAGGAUAAGUCCACUCCUCGGCUGUUACUGAGGAAGGUCCCACCGAUGUUCAGCCCCUCACGUUUCUCCUCCCCCAAGCUCAACCAGGUAAGUCACUCUCACUCCUCUUCUGUCUCUCCCUCUUUCUCUCCCUCUCCUCCUGUCUCUCAAAGAAAAAAAGAAAGAAAAAAGAAAGAAAAAAAGAAAAAAGAAAGAAAAAAAGAAAAAAAAGAAAGAAAGAAAAAAGAAAAAACAAGAAAG
rnacentral:lncRNA from 1 species